rnacentral:misc_RNA from 1 species
AACGGUCUAUACCUGCGGUACCUGCGGAAGGAUCAUUACCGAGUCCCCUGCUUGCAGGAACUCCACCCUUGGUUACUGCCGUUGCUUCGGCGAGACGUUGGAAACAGCCAUCGGCAUGCCGAUGCGCGCUCGCCGGAGUCAAACUCCUGAACUAUGUGUGGUCAGAGAAUCAAGCAAUCUUGAAAACUUUCAACAACGGAUCUCU